rnacentral:rRNA from 1 species
ACCGAACAGGUAGCCCCAC